rnacentral:rRNA from 1 species
CGUAGGGACCGAGCGUUGUCCGGAUUCAUUGGGCGUAAAGAGCUCGUAGGCGGCUACUCAAGUCGAACGUGAAAACUCGGAGCUCAACUCCGAGCCUGCGUUCGAUACUGGAUGGCUAGAGUCUGGUAGGGGGAUCUGGAAUUCCUGGUGUAGCGGUGGAAUGCGCAGAUAUCAGGAGGAACACCGGUGGCGAAGGCGGGAUCCUGGGCCAGUACUGACGCUGAGGAGCGAAAGCGUGGGGAGCAAACAGGAUUAGAUACCCUGGUAGUCCACGCCGUAAACGAUGGGCGCUAGGUGUGGGAGGUCAUCGACUCCUUCCGUGCCGCAGCUAACGCAUUAAGCGCCCCGCCUGGGGAGUACGGCCGCAAGGCUA